rnacentral:rRNA from 1 species
GACGAACGCUGGCGGCGUGCCUCAUACAUGCAAGUCGAGCGGGCGUAGCAAUACGUCAGCGGCGGACGGGUGAGUAACACGUGAACAAUCUGCCCUCGAAUUUGGGAUAACAGUUCCAACGAGCUGCUAAUACCGGAUAGGUUAAUCUGAUCUCCUGAUUGGAUUAAGAAAGUUGCAAUUGCAACGUUCGAGGAUGAGUUCGCGGCCCAUUAGCUAGUUGGCGGGGUAACGGCCCACCAAGGCGACGAUGGGUAGCCGGCCUGAGAGGGUGAUCGGCCACAUUGGGACUGAGAUACGGCCCAGACUCCUACGGGAGGCAGCAGUGGGGAAUAUUGGACAAUGGGCGAAAGCCUGAUCCAGCAAUACCGCGUGAGUGAUGAAGGCCUUAGGGUUGUAAAGCUCUUUUAGUAGGGAAGAUAAUGACGGUACCUACAGAAAAAGCCCCGGCUAACUCCGUG